rnacentral:rRNA from 1 species
UACGAAGGGGGCGAGCGUUGUUCGGAUUUACUGGGCGUAAAGGGCGCGUAGGCGCUUGUCAGUCAGGCGUGAAAGCCCCGGGCUCAACCUGGGAACGGCGCUUGGGACGGCGAGGCUGGAGUUCGGGAGAGGAGAGUGGAAUUCCCAGUGUAGAGGUGAAAUUCGUAGAUAUUCGCAAGAACACCAGUGGCGAAGGCGGCUUACUGGUCCGGUUCUGACGCUGAGGCGCGAAAGCGUGGGGAGCAAACAGG